AUUGAACGCUGGCGGAAUGCUUUACACAUGCAAGUCGAACGGCAGCACGGACUUCGGUCUGGUGGCGAGUGGCGAACGGGUGAGUAAUACAUCGGAACGUGCCCAAUCGUGGGGGAUAACGUAGCGAAAGCUACGCUAAUACCGCAUACGAUCUAAGGAUGAAAGCGGGGGAUCGCAAGACCUCGCGCGAUUGGAGCGGCCGAUGGCAGAUUAGGUAGUUGGUAGGGAAAAGGCCUACCAAGCCGACGAACUGUAGCUGGGCUGAGAGGAUGAGCCGCCACACGGGGAAGGAGCACCGGAGCAGACUGCUGCGGGAGGCAGCAGUGGGGAAUGUUGGACAAUGGCCGCGAGUCUGACCCAGCAGUUUCGCGUGCAGGAUGAAGGACCUCGGAUUGUAACCUGCUUUUGUACAGAGCGAAAAGGCUCUGGUUAAUACCUAGGGCUCAUGACGGUACUGUAAGAAUAAGCACCGGCUAACUACGUGCCAUCCGCCGCCGUAA
rnacentral:rRNA from 1 species